rnacentral:lncRNA from 1 species
AAGAGCACUCAGGUGCUUGGCAGCAAACACCUGUAUCCCUUGAGCUACCUUGAUGGCCUUACUUGACACUUUGAUAGAGUCUUUGUUCAUUUAAGAAAGGUCAGAUGGGUAAGCGUGGUGUGUCACACCUACAGUUCCAGCACUUGGGAAGCUGAGGUGGGAGAAUUGCUUUGAGUUUGAGGUCAGCUCAAAAAAAACAAAAAGUGGGAAUGCAUGCUGUGUGGCAGGGUGGGUGGUGCGGUGGGUAGCGCUGCCUGUCCUUUCAGGAGUGUGCAGCUCGAGGGGAAGACUACGAGAAGGUGAAACUGCUGGAGAUCAGUGCGGAGGACGCUGAGAGGUGGGAGAGGAGGAAGAAGAAGAAGAACCCUGACUUGGGGUUUUCAGAUUAUGCUGCUGCCCAAUUGCGCCAGUAUCACCGGCUGACCAAGCAGAUCAAACCUGACAUGGAAAGCUACGAGCGACAGAGAGAAAAGCAUGGAGAAGAUUUUUUCCCGACAUCCAACAGUCUUCUCCAUGGGACGCAUGUGCCUUCCUCAGAGGAAAUUGAC